GGGAGGCGGAGCUUGCAGUGAGUCGAGAUCGCGCCACUGCACUCCAGCCUGGGCGACAGAGCGAAACUCUGUCUCAAAAAAAAAAAAAUGUGAAUCUAUUCUAAAAGAUGGAUCAUUUGGCUCUUUGGUUUGAUAUUUGCUUCAAUAUCCAAUAUCAGCCAACCUUGACCUGGACACUGUAGUCAUAGACUCUUAACAGUCAGCUGUGACUUCAGAGACCAUUUGGAUGAAACUGUUUAAUGGAAAACCUCUUUCAUGACAGUCCUGCCUUGCUAGUCAAACUCGGCCCGGACGCACUUAGGGACGAGGUGCUAACUCUCACAGAAACUACCUGAUCUUUCUUAUUUGAAUAAACCCCACCUCCCUGUAACUUCCUCCUCAUUCUUUUGUUCUCUGACAGCCUCGGGAUAUUUGAAGGCAACCUGGGUUGGUCCCAGCCUUUCCAGCACCUCCUUUCUCCAGCUUGGACUAGAAGCUCUUGGCGUGUGUCAGCUGUUUGUGACAUGACAUGGGUUUGAGACUCCUUCUUUCCCAGCGUGCCCCACAGGGGAAGUCUCUAGAGCCAGGCCCACCCGGGGACAGCAGAGCAGAGCCCUCCCUCUACCUCCAGGACCUAAAUUCUGCAGUAGGGCCAUCUGCCCUGACACCUUCCAAAAGGGUCAUGGUAGAAGAUAUGAAGCAGAAGUCUGCGAGGAUUUCAUCUUCCAACUUUGAGGACCAGUUGAUCAUGAAAACAAGCAAGGCAGGUGGCUGUUACCAUUAACUACAGUUCACAUGGGAGGAAGCUGAGCAACUUCCCUAAGAAAUUCAGCCAGGAAGUAGCAGAGAAAGGGGAUUGAACCCAGGUCUUUGGCCUUGAGCCCCUUUUUCCCUCUGGUCAAAACUGCAUUCCUGGAACUUAUGGCUGGUUAUGUUUCUGGGAAAGGCACUACAAGUUGAAAUGAUGUAAGUCUAAUCUAAUUUAUUAACAGAAAAGUUUUAUAAUGGAGGUUAUAGUAUGGACUAAGUGCUUGAUUCCCAAAUUGUUAUACAAAGAACAAAAAUCCCAUAUGUGAUCAAGCUCAGGCUAUGUACCUAUACAGUACACAGUGAGAACUGGCAAUAUAAUGCCUGCUCUUAUAAAAUUUAAUUUCAUUUUUAAUAUAGUUCCCAGGAGAGGGUUUGUGCAGAGUAGAACGAAGGGCUAGAGGUUUUGUGGAAACAGCUGGAGAUUUCCUGAUUUCCAGAGGUUUUGCCUGAGGCUGAGGCUGCAGUGACCCGUGGGACAGAUGCUGUGGGGGGAUGGGGGAGGUCCCCUGAGGCCUGGCGCUGGGCCGUUGCAUCUUUUCACCACUAGGACCCAUCAGGAGGCUGUUGGAACAUUGUGGGUACCCCAGGAGCAUGGGAGCCUCUCUGGUUGAACCUUCGUUUGUGGAGGGAAGUAUUACCCAUCCUUUGCUUUGCUGCCUGAGGACCAGCGUGAGACUCAAGCUGCUUUGGUAUGAUAGAAAGCUGCUUUGCUCUUCUAGAAAACCAGGGCCCUACCACUUAGCAGCACACAAGAGUGGAACCCAGUGCCCAGGAACUGGCUUGUGUGUGCACUCAGGUCCCUCUGAGUGAAGAUGUAACAUCUAGCUCCAACCCAAAGCAUAUCUAAAACACCCGCCUAUCUCUAAAACACCAAAGCGUCUCUAAAACACCUGCCCUUGCUUUGUGGAGAGGGUAGGAAAACAGGCGAAAUCAGCGAAUGUCUUUCCCGUGGCUCUAAUGGCCAAAGCCC
rnacentral:lncRNA from 1 species